UUUGUUGACAUUAAUUUAAUUUAAUUUAUUUUGUUAUCUUAAAUAUUUGCACACUAAUAAUUUAGUAGAAAGUUAAGGCCUCUAAUCAUAAAUUUCAAUCUUACUGUACCAACUUUCUUGCAAAUAAAUUAUCUUAUCUUAUCUUAUCCUGUGGGCUCUUGACUUGGCGGUGAGGGGUGCGGUGCAGAUGUACGGCCGUGAAGUUUUGUGGCAGAUGAGCUCUUGACUUGGCGGUGAGGGGUGCGGUGCAGAUGUACAGUAAAGUCUUGUGGCAAAUGAGCUCUUGAUUUGGCGGCAAGGAAAGCGGCUGGUUAUUGAUUUGAAGCAGAAAAGAUUGGAAUUUAUGAAUAUGUUUUCAAGUAGUUAGUAGUUUAGAGUUAAAGUUAAAGUUUAUCAUGCAUUGUAUAGCUGAGGAAUAAAGUCAGUUCUUAUGAGUUGAGGAUAGUUCUAUUAAUAUGAAUUACUCGAAAAUUAUAAUCUAUUGCUGAAAAUCUUGAUGUUUAGGUAUUAUAAUGACAAUAGGUAGAAACUGUUGCGUAUAAAAUAUAAAAAUUUAAUAAGUUUGAGGACAAACUUAAUGUAGUGAGGACGGCCGACUGUUAGAUAUUCAUAAAUAAACGCAAGUAUUAUAAAAUAAUGUAUACAAUUUGUAGUGUUAGAAACGUGGCAACCCUUCGCGAUGGUAACAUUAAGUGGUCAGCUGUCAACAGCGAUGACGGUUAGGAUAGUCGAGUGAAUCAUUAGAAAAGCGAUUGGGGAAAAGCUAUAUUGUGUAAAAUGCAUAUAGAAUGAUAUCAUUGUGAAUCUUAGAAUAAGUACGCAGUUGUGAAUAUCUAAGUAAUGAUGAUGAGCUUAAUGUCUUGAAUAUACAAUAUAUAUAAACCGAA